UAAAUUGUUUGGGCUGCGUCGCUUAGUAAAAGUCGAAACGACGAUGC
rnacentral:sRNA from 1 species